rnacentral:lncRNA from 1 species
UCAAAUUGAUAAGCGGCACAAGAGUAUCACUUCACAAUACACACUUCACCUUUCCUUGGCCACCAUUAUUGUUCAUGAAAAAAAUGUUUCUUUAUCAUUUCCUUCACUCUUUUUUUCCGAUGACUACCUUAGGCAAGUAUACUGCACUCAUUUUGAUAUUUCUUCACAAAAGUGGACCUACCACUUUCUGCAUAUUCAUUUUUUUUCACAGUAAACUAAGUGUGAUACCAUGCUUCUUCACUAGUCUAAAUUGCUUCAUGUCUAACACUCAUAAACCAACAUAAUUCACUAUUAUAAACAAACCUAUAAUCUCUUUCAUGUAAAAAAAACUCACCAAUAAAUCACUCCAAAUACAACCUUCAUUUCAUGAGAUAUUUUUCCAUUUCAUACCACCAUAAAAACUCUCUCUUAAAUAAACCACAACUCACCAUAACUAACCUUUUUUCACCAUUUUUACUCUUUCAUUUUCACAACAUACACCACAACAACAAGGAAACGCAAGACGCGGUCGAAACCGAAAAAAGAUAGAAAGAAACAUCGUCAUCAUCAUCACUCUUUCCGCCGGAGCAUCCACUGAAUGCCACGACGCCCCCUCCUUCUAGUGCCACCAUCUCUGAAAUCGAUCUCGUCGGUCAUUUCUCUUUCUCUCCUUUUAAAUUUGAGUUCAUGAUUUGUUUUGUUUAUGUUUGUUUAUUUUGUUUUAUUUUGUUUAUUUAUUUUAACUUUUUUUUAAAUGAUUAAUUAAGGUUUUAAUGUCUUGUUUGAUUGAGUUCAAUGAGGUUUAAUAUUUAUACCUCAUAUCAUGUUUAUUUAUUUUAUUUUCAUUUUUGUUCUUUUGAUUUUAUUAUUUUUUGUAUCAUGUUUAUUUUGUAUUAUAGUAUUUUUUGGCUUUUCUAUGUACAUUUGGUCCAUUAACAAUUUAACAUUUACUCUAAAUAAUGUGGUGUCUCUUUCUUUUUAAACAUUUUGGUUGUUGCUA